GCUCAGGACGAACGCUGGCGGCGUGCCUAAUACAUGCAAGUCGAACGCUUUUUCUUUCACCGGAGCUUGCUCCAUCGAAAGAAAAAGAGUGGCGAACGGGUGAGUAACACGUGGGUAACCUGCCCAUCAGAAGGGGAUAACACUUGGAAACAGGUGCUAAUACCGUAUAACACUAUUUUCCGCAUGGAAGAAAGUUGAAAGGCGCUUUUGCGUCACUGAUGGAUGGACCCGCGGUGCAUUAGCUAGUUGGUGAGGUAACGGCUCACCAAGGCAACGAUGCAUAGCCGACCUGAGAGGGUGAUCGGCCACACUGGGACUGAGACACGGCCCAGACUCCUACGGGAGGCAGCAGUAGGGAAUCUUCGGCAAUGGACGAAAGUCUGACCGAGCAACGCCGCGUGAGUGAAGAAGGUUUUCGGAUCGUAAAACUCUGUUGUUAGAGAAGAACAAGGAUGAGAGUAAAAUGUUCAUCCCUUGACGGUAUCUAACCAGAAAGCCACGGCUAACUACGUGCCAGCAGCCGCGGUAAUACGUAGGUGGCAAGCGUUGUCCGGAUUUAUUGGGCGUAAAGCGAGCGCAGGCGGUUUCUUAAGUCUGAUGUGAAAGCCCCCGGCUCAACCGGGGAGGGUCAUUGGAAACUGGGAGACUGA
rnacentral:rRNA from 1 species